UACGUAGGGUGCAAGCGUUGUCCGGAAUUAUUGGGCGUAAAGAGCUCGUAGGCGGUCUGUCGCGUCGGCUGUGAAAACCCGGGGCUCAACCCCGGGCCUGCAGUCGAUACGGGCAGACUAGAGUGCGGUAGGGGAGACUGGAAUUCCUGGUGUAGCGGUGAAAUGCGCAGAUAUCAGGAGGAACACCGGUGGCGAAGGCGGGUCUCUGAGCCGUAACUGACGCUGAGGAGCGAAAGCGUGGGGAGCGAACAGG
rnacentral:rRNA from 1 species